GCGUCGCGAGCUGCCUGCCGUUUUUGCCUCUACCGCUGCGACGCCGACGACACGUACGCUGAGUGCUCUGUGUAGCCCCGUAGCUCCUGCCGCCUGCGCUAGUAGCGUCCCCCUAGUAGUGUAGCAGGCCGAGGCCUCUACGUCGAAUGUCAUGCAUCCGUGUAGCGUCUUACCAAGUGUACCGAUGGAAAUAGUAGUGCGUUACCUCUCGAUCUGUAAUCGUCGCACAGUGGUUGCAUUGCGGUCAGUGCUACGUAAAGUAUUAUAUCCGCGGCACGUCAAGUAUCUACAGUAGAUAGUAUCCCAAAUUUGUUACUGUUGUCGUCUCGAAUGUCUUUGAGCAAUAUACAUCUAGAUAGAGACCAUGACGGUUUUGCUGUACAGCUGCUAAGGCUCCCUAUAUGUAAUUAUGCAAAUUUGUUUUCCGCUUAGUUGGCACGAAUCAGUAUAUUACACUAAAGAUUUGAUUCUUGGGCUGAAUUGAUUGCCUUCGUCGGAAAAAUUCCGAAAGUGAGCUUAUUACCCUCUUAGCUACCUCGUCACCGACGAAGUGCGUAGAACCCUGUACCACACCCUGAAUUCAUUUCCCUGACGCUGCCUCGUCCGCUUGAGCGAGAGUACACAGCUAAUUAGG